CAGUACUUAGCUGCGGAUCGGCGUGUCCUUGGGCUAGAGAGUGGGAUAUCAGGCUUCUGCGCUAGAACUUUCCUUGUGGUAACGAGGGAAGACUGGUGACCACCCGGCACGGAAGCUGCAGCAGGUUUAAAAAUGGGUGAUGUUGAGAAAGGCAAGAAAAUUUUUGUACAGAAGUGUGCCCAUUGCCAUACUGUUGAGAAGGGAGGCAAGCACAAGACUGGGCCAAAUCUCCAUGGUCUCUUUGGGUGGGAGACAGGUCAGGCUGCUGGAUUCUCUUACACAGAUGCCAACAAGAACAAAGGUAUCACCUGGGGAGAGGAUACAUUGAUGGAGUAUUUGGUGAACCUCAAGAAGUGCAUUCCAGGAACAAAAGUGAUCUUUGCUAGCAUCAACAAGAAGGUAGAAAGGGCAGACUUAAUAACUUACCUCAAAAAGGCUACUAAUGAGCAAUAGUCACUGCCUUAUUUAUUACAGAACAGAAAUGUCUCAUGGUUUUUGUAUGUAUACCAUAAUUUAAUCUCAUACACCAGACUUCAGAUCAUAAGUGGCUGACAGAAUAUUUUUGUUGGGCAGUCCUGAUUUAAAUAAAAUUGGCUUGU